CUGCGGGAGAGCGGCCGGCAGCGGCAGCGCUGAGCGGGCUCUUCCCAUCGCGGGCCAGGUGAACGUUGUUCAGGCAGCAUCUCCGGGGGCUCUCGGGCGCCUGCCGCUUCUCAGUGUUCUUUUCCUGGACACGACGGUGUGGCAGCAGAGACCCGGGGAUACUCGGGAGAAGCUGAUGUCCCGAGGGAGAAGGCUUUGGCCGCCAGCCGCAACCCGCUUCGCUGAGGAGCGGGAGCUCCCAUCGGAUGAACUGGAAGUCGGGCAGAAGCCAUGCAUCAGGCCCAUAACCUCACGCGCUUCGACCACCAGGCUGGAGCUCCCAGCUGGGAACCAACGCCGACCCGGCAAAUUUCAAACCGUUCCUCUCUGUCCUGAGUUUAAAGACUUAAGUGCAAACUUAUCCGAAUUUUUCAGUUUUUCUUCCCUUAAAAUUAACAUAGUCAUGACUGAGAACGUGAGAUAUAUGGAAAGUCACUUCUGAAACAAAGCCUUUUUAAUUUACCAGUGCAACUGGAAGAAGACCUCAAAAUUGAGAGAAGAACAGAGAGGAGUGAAAAGCCUGAGUGCUGUUUUUCUCAUAAGAGUGUGUCAGAUGAAAGUUAGCAAUGUUUAUGGCAGUAGUAACUCUCUAAUUGAGGACAGUUGAAGAACAGAAAAGCAUAAGGAAUUUUCCUUAUUCCAAAGAUAAAAAAAAGUCAAUUUGCUGUUAGCUGGCUUAGGCUUCAUGCAAGCAGCAGAUACUGCAAUACCAAGGCGUAGUGACUGGCCACACCAGCUGAGGACAUGUAUGGACAUUCCCUGGAUCAGACCAAUAUGCUUCUGGCCAGUCUGGGUUGGGAUAAUGACUAGAAUCUUCCAGUCCAUGUUCUGUAGGUCAGAAGAUUCAGAAUGCAGUUUUGGCACAACUACAAGCUACAGAUGAGCUGGUCUGCUGCAUCAUUCUGGAAUGCCCCCUGUGCUGGGAAUAGGGGUACUGCUUUGCUCCAGCUGUUCUGACACCCACUCAGUUCAGUGUCCUAUCCCUUGUUCUGUCCAAGCACACCUCCAAAAAAAAGAUAACAAUGCCAUAGUCAGCAGAUUUGGAUCAACCUUUCUUUCAGGGUACUAAGAUUUCAGACAGUUAAGGAGAUAAGAGAGGAAAGGCUGCUUUGCAUAUUUAGCUCAUCAGUUAAUGCUUCCUAAUGAGACAAAGGUGGAAGAUAUGAAUACAAAACUGAUCAUAAAAAAAUAAAAUCAAUGAUGCCAAAGAAAGCAUAGAGUGACAGAAAGAGUAUGGAUUUCCAAAAGUGGAUUUUUCUUGGCUUGCAGAAUGAACGGGUGGGUAGAUCUUUUGGAAGAAAUUCAUAAGGAAACAGAAGCAUAGGAGAGCCAACAGUUACUGAACAAAGUGUAUUAAAGGCACAACAGCAGAUUACCCUGAUGUAAAGUAGGCACUGACAGAGAGCAGCAAGGCUUCAUUAGGAGCUUUUUGGUUAACUGAAAAACAGGAAGGAAUCAUGCAAAACAGCGAAAACAAGAACCAAUUACUAAAAUUUAGUUAAAAAUAAUAGUAAACUCACAUGAGGAACAAAGGAUGAAGGCAAAGAAGCUAUAUGAGUUCAUCUAGGAAAGGACCUAAAAGCCAAUAGAAGGUUACAUACACACAAACUAAGGGAAACAAAUUAAAAUUCAAGUCCAGUAUCUAAGGAAAAGACAGCAAAUAAUGCAACACAAAGAAUUCUGAAAUUUUCAAUGAUUAUUUGCCUAAUGUGUCUACAAAAUAUCUUAGUGUCAGACAUACAAAGAAAUUAAUUUUAACAAACGUCUAAAACACACAGACCAGAAAAGGGAAGAAAUGUGUUAAGCAAUAUUAAGAAAUGCCAGUUUCUUAUCCUGAUGACUUAAACAUGUAGUUCAGAAAGCAGUGGAUAAAGCCAGCCUCCCUGUAGCCUUGUGUCUCCUGAUUGCAUUAGCCCAGAGCAAAAAGGAUGGCUGAAAUUUAUGGCUGGAAUAUUCAUAACAAUCUUCUGUGAGUUUUCCACUGCCGGAUAUCAGGGUUUCUUUUACACUGAAUUCCUUGUUGCCAUGGAAGGCUCUCUAUUUACCUGCUUAUCUUCACAAAAUCUGUAGAAAUGUGGUAUCUCUGAGACCGCAACCACUCGGUCCAGUUCAGUUGGAGAGUAAGCAACAAGUUCAAAAGGCAUGGUGUGGCCUGACUAGUCAUAUUUCAGAUCGUAUAAACUGUGUUUCCAUAGGAAAAUGUGCUAAAAAUUACCCUGGAGCACUUUAAAGAUAAAAUAAUCUCUGUAUGAUGAUUCUGGGAUGGAAGCAGAGGGAGGGUGUUCUGGAAGAGUAUUUUGUUGUGGUUUGGGUUUUUUGAGAAUUCAUGAAGUCCAACUGAGGUCCAAGAAGACUAGAAAUGAUGAAAAUACUUCCUUAGGAAACAAAAUGCCAUUGACCUCUCAUAAAUAACCAUGCAUCUCUGAGAGAUACUGUCAUAGGUUAUUAGGCAGUUAGUGUAUAGGCAUGAAGAGAACAAUAUGUAGAAAACAAUUAGGUAGUAAGGCCUUAAAAUGUAAUCUUAGGAUCAUUAUUGUGUCAAACCUCUCCAAUUUCCUUCCUAGAAAGGAAAGGCAGGCCUAUUGAAUACGAAGGAAGCAGUAAAUGUGAUAUCUGUACUUUAACAAAGCCUUUAGUUACUUCCUCUCUAAUUUUGCCUGCAGUACAAAAAAUGGUGUAGACAAAGUCAAGUAACAGUUGACACACAAGUAGUUAAGUAUUUCUCCCAAAAAGUAUUUAUUUAAUGGUUUUCUGACAGAGUAGGAUGGCACUGCAGUAACAUCCUUCAGGGUCUUCUCAUCCAUCCUAUUCUAUUCAAUUUUUCAUUGAACAGUUUGGAAAAUAGAAAAGGGAGUAAACUUGUAAAAUUUGCAAAAAGCCAGAAAGGGAGUUGCAAACACAGGUAAGCAGAUCAGAAUCCAAAAUAUUUAGAUAAUGUGAGAAACUACAAGUGCAAUAAGCUCAUACUAGAUAAACUGAAAUUGACAAAACCAGAGUAUAUUAAUAUAAGCUCAUGAUGCUUUAACAAGGCAACAGGAUUGCAAAGAAAGAUAGGAAGGUUCAAGUGGAUUUCAAACUAAAUAUGAGUCAACAUGAUGAUGUUGCAGAAAGGCAUUUCACAUUCCAAGAUGUAUUAGGAAGUGUGCAGAAUGUGAGAUACAGGACCUAAUUAUUUCGCAAUCUUCAGUGCUGCUGAGGUCUCAGCUGGCACAUUCUGUGCAAUUUUGGGCAAUGCACUCCAAAAACAAUUUCAACAAUUUGGAUGGAGUUGAAAUGAAAUCAACAAGAAUGAUAUUUUGAGAAUAUGACUUACAAGGAAAGGUUGAAGAAAUGAGGCUUUGCUUCCUCAGAAAAAGAAGACUGGAUGGAAAAUGCAUAAAAGGUUGCAUACAAAAAGUCAUGGUCAACAGAUCUUUGUACACACCUGAAUUAUAACAAGUAACUACUUAAUUUGUAACGAAGAAGAGUGGCCUAGAUACAAAAAAUGAAACAACAAAAAAAAAUCCUUUCAACCUAAAGUCUAGAUUAGAUGGAAUAGAUUUAUGAGGUUGUGGAAUCCCCUUCAUUUGUGGUUUUUAACAGCAGCCUAUACAAACAUCUGUCAGGGGUGACCUAGUUACCCAUUUCCUACCACAACAGGGAUAGACUGGACCUCCUUUUUUUUUUUUUUUUCCCCCCACUGUAAUGAUUUCAUGACUGGAGAACCUGUUUCAUUUAACUUGGUUGCUACAGAUUAAGCAGUACAACUGUUACAACUGAGGAGCCAAGGCCUUAGUAAAAUAAAACAAACCUCCA